GCGUUGUUCGGAAUUACUGGGCGUAAAGCGCACGUAGGCGGAUUGGAAAGUUGGGGGUGAAAUCCCGGGGCUCAACCCCGGAACUGCCUCCAAAACUAUCAGUCUAGAGUUCGAGAGAGGUGAGUGGAAUUCCAAGUGUAGAGGUGAAAUUCGUAGAUAUUUGGAGGAACACCAGUGGCGAAGGCGGCUCACUGGCUCGAUACUGACGCUGAGGUGCGAAAGUGUGGGGAGCAAACAGGAUUAGAUACCCUGGUAGUCCACACCGUAAACGAUGAAUGCCAGUCGUCGGGCAGUAUACUGUUCGGUGACACACCUAACGGAUUAAGCAUUCCGCCUGGGGAGUACGGUCGCAAGAUUAAAACUCAAAGGAAUUGACGGGGGCCCCCACAAGCGGUGGAGCAUGUGGUUUAAUUCGAAGCAACGCGCAGAACCUUACCAGCCCUUGACAUGUGGAGUUUGGUUAUCAGAGAUGGUUUCCUUCAGUUCGGCUGGCUCCAACACAGGUGCUGCAUGGCU
rnacentral:rRNA from 1 species